UUAUUAAUUUGGUUUCCCAGGGCUUCAGCUGUCGCUUGCAUUGCUGCUGCCAUAUUGCCUAAUGCAGCCAUGAAGUCUAUAGGAUUAGGAAUGUUUCCUGAUGCCUCAGGCAUGACAUUGCCUAUUCGGCCUCUACCUCGCCCGCGUCCGCGUCCGCGAGUAGACAUCUGGUCCCUAUACACACCAAACAAGUGAUAUCAAGUUGAUCA
rnacentral:lncRNA from 1 species